rnacentral:rRNA from 1 species
AAUGAACGUUGGCGGCGUGGAUUAGGCAUGCAAGUCGAGCGCUCAUAGCAAUAUGGGAGCGGCGAACGGCGUAGUAAUGCAUCGGAACGUACCCUUCGGUCGGGGAUAGCCACGGGAAACUGUGGGUAAUACCCGAUGAUAUCUGCGGAUCAAAGGUGAGAUUCCGCCGGAGGAGCGGCUGAUGUGAUAUUAGCUUGAUGGUGGGGUAAUGGCCUACCAUGGCGAUGAUGUCUAGGGGGUGUGAGAGCAUGGCCCCCACGACCGGAACUGAGACACUGUCCGGACACCUACGGGUGGCUGCAGUCGAGAAUCUUCCGCAAUGGACGAAAGUCUGACGGAGCGACGCCGCGUGCGGGAGUG